AAAAGAUUAAACGACAACAGCAACAAAAAUGAGAUUUUUAGAAAAAUUUAGUCAAUGUAAGUAUUUCUUCUUCCAAGAUUAUCCAAGUCCUUGAGGGCAUUUCAACCAUCAAGAGCAAGUGCAGGCAGGAUAAUCGCCUAAUAUUUCUCCAUUUAAUGGAAGAAAACACAGAGCUACGAAUAAAGG